rnacentral:rRNA from 1 species
AUUGAACGCUGGCGGCAUGCCUUACACAUGCAAGUCGAACGGCAGCACGGGAGCAAUCCUGGUGGCGAGUGGCGAACGGGUGAGUAAUAUAUCGGAACGUGCCCAGUCGUGGGGAUAACGUAGCGAAAGCUACGCUAAUACCGCAUACGAUCUAUGGAUGAAAGCGGGGGAUCGCAAGACCUCGCGCGAUUGGAGCGGCCGAUAUCAGAUUAGGUAGUUGGUGAGGUAAAGGCUCACCAAGCCGACGAUCUGUAGCUGGUCUGAGAGGACGACCAGCCACACUGGGACUGAGACACGGCCCAGACUCCUACGGGAGGCAGCAGUGGGGAAUUUUUGGGACAAUGGGCGCAAGCCUGAUCCAGCAAUGCCGCGUGCAGGAUGAA